rnacentral:rRNA from 1 species
UUUAUGGAGAGUUUGAUCCUGGCUCAGGAUGAACGCUGGCGGCGUGCCUAAUACAUGCAAGUCGAGCGAACGGACGAGAAGCUUGCUUCUCUGAUGUUAGCGGCGGACGGGUGAGUAACAC